rnacentral:rRNA from 1 species
AGAACGAACGCUGGCGGCAGGCUUAACACAUGCAAGUCGAGCGCCCAGCAAGGGGAGCGGCAGACGGGUGAGUAACGCGUGGGAACAUACCCUCCGGUUCGGAAUAGCUCAGGGAAACUUGGAUUAAUACCGGAUACGGCCUAGCGGCGAAAGAUUCAUCGCCGGAGGAUUGGCCCGCGUUCGAUUAGCUAGUUGGUGAGGUAACGGCUCACCAAGGCGACGAUCGAUAGCUGGUCUGAGAGGAUGAUCAGCCACAUUGGGACUGAGACACGGCCCAAACUCCUACGGGAGGCAGCAGUGGGGAAUAUUGGACAAUGGGCGCAAGCCUGAUCCAGCCAUGCCGCGUGAGUGAUGACGGCCUUAGGGUUGUAAAGCUCUUUCGCUAGGGACGAUAAUGACGGUACCUAGACAAGAAGCCCCGGCUAACUUCGUGCCAGCAGCCGC